rnacentral:rRNA from 3 species
UAAUUGGAGAGUUUGAUCCUGGCUCAGGACGAACGCUGGCGGCGUGCCUAAUACAUGCAAGUCGAGC